CCCCCCCCACCCCCUUCCUCAGCUCUGAUCAUUAAGGCUUAUCACGAGGUGUUUCACGGCCAGGGUGUGGUUCAUUAACCAACCGUACCUGUACUGCCUCUGAUCUGAUAAGCACCGCUACAGCCUCCAUUAGCCCGACGACGAGGGUAAAAUGCUGACGAGACAAGAAAAAAAAAAAAAAAAAAAGCUCCCGGUCAAUGAGGGUGGGUUGCAUAAUCUAAUGCAUCACCGGGAAAGAGCGAGCGUCUAGCCGCACUCAAACCAAAUGAGGCUCGGGCUUGAGAGGUGCCCAAUGUGCUGACGCCAGGGAAACUGGGCGAGAUGGGUUACUGUGCUUUCUCCACACCCGGAGCAUGCUGUCAGGCCAGAGUGACUGAGAUUAGUCAACCAUGGUUGUGUCCAUUCACUCAGUAAAGACUACGAGGACAUGAAGAAAGGAGACAGGAGGAGACACAGGAAUAGAAGAAACCCAGAAAGAACACCAGUUCCAGAUGUGCCCAAAAAAGGGAUUGGUAUCUUACCUUCUCGCUCUCGCUGCCCCUUCUCCGUG